GCUUCUCCUCUUCAGUUCACUACUCUCAUUUUCUAUAGGGUUCAGGUCAGAGGACUGGAAUGGUUAUAGCAGAAGCUUGUUUUUGUGCUCAGUGACCCAUUUCUGUGUUGUUUUUGAGAAUCCAUGAUGCCAUGUGUCUAAACAAGAUGUCCAGGACCUCCAGCAGAAAUAUAGGCCCACAACAUCAAAAAUACAGGAGUAUAUUUAAUUGUACACAUGGGGUACUUUUUAUCUCUGUGUUCACCAAACCCAUCUUGAGUGAUAGCUGCUAAAAAGCUCAUUUUUAGUUUCAUCUGAUCAUAGAAGCCAGUCCCAUUUGAA